CUGCAGGAGGGACAGGUGAAAUCUCCAGCCUGACCAGUUUCAUCGCAGUAUCUGUUGAUGCACAGUCUGCAGAAACUGUGUCCACAGGUGAUAGAGACUGGAUCUGUAAGAAACUGCUCACACAGUCCACACCUGGACUGAUCCUGCAGUAGAUUACUGUUUCCC